CAGCAGCCGCGGUAAUACAGAGGGUGCAAGCGUUGUUCGGAAUUACUGGGCGUAAAGCGUGCGUAGUCGGUAUUGAGAGUCGCGGGUGAAAUCCCAGGGCUUAACCCUGGAACUGCUUGCGAGACCUCAGUACUAGAGUGUGAGAGGGGAUAGUGGAAUACCCAGUGUAGCGGUGAAAUGCGUAGAGAUUGGGUGGAACACCGGUGGCGAAGGCGGCUAUCUGGCUCACAACUGACGAUCAGGCACGAAAGCGUGGGGAGCAAACAGGAUUAGAUACCCUGGUAGUCCACGCUGUAAACUAUGCAUACAAGCUGUAGUGGGAUUUUACUCUCUGCUGUGGCGAAGCUAACGCAAUUAGUAUGCCGCCUGGGGAGUACGGUCGCAAGACUAAAACUCAAAGAAAUUGACGG
rnacentral:rRNA from 1 species